GACGAACGCUGGCGGCGUGCUUAACACAUGCAAGUCGAACGGAAAGGCCCUGCUUUUGUGGGGUGCUCGAGUGGCGAACGGGUGAGUAACACGUGAGUAACCUGCCCUUGACUUUGGGAUAACUUCAGGAAACUGGGGCUAAUACCGGAUAGGAGCUCCUGCUGCAUGGUGGGGGUUGGAAAGUUUCGGCGGUUGGGGAUGGACUCGCGGCUUAUCAGCUUGUUGGUGGGGUAGUGGCUUACCAAGGCUUUGACGGGUAGCCGGCCUGAGAGGGUGACCGGCCACAUGGGGACUGGGAUACGGCCCAGACCCCUACGGGAGGAAGGAGGGGGAAAUAUUGCACAAGGGGCGGAAGCCUGAUGCAGCAACGCCGGGGGGGGGAUGACGGCCUUCGGGUUGUAAACCGUUUUCGCCUGUGACGAAGCGUGAGUGGGGGUAAGGGGUAAAAAAGCCCCGGCUAACUACG
rnacentral:rRNA from 1 species